UUAAUUUGAGGAUCAUGAAACAUCAACAUGUGACACUAAUUUCUCUCUGCGUAACUUCAGGCUGCAACGUUAAAUUUAGCACUCCAAAACGAUACGCUUAUUAGUGAAGAGAUGCUGCAGGCCUCCAGAAAAACAAGGGAUGGGGACACGACAGAUGAGGAUGCUGUAGAGGAGAGAGGAAACAUUGAGCUAUAGGGCUUCUCCUAAGUGUGUGUGUGAGUGUGUGUGAGACCAUCGUUCGCCUCAGAGUCUAACACUCUGCUCUGUCGUGUCUGCAGCUCUGAUCAGAGGAAACUUGUCACUACUUUGUCACUUCCACCGUGUGUCAUAACCCGAACCACCAGGUACGCCACAGGGACACACACACACACACACACACACACACACACACAUGCGUCAUCACUUUACAUUUCCACCACACGCUUACAUUUCCUGGCCCUCUCUGCAUCUUCACAUCCUUUAAUUUUACACGACACGCAGCUUCCCCAGAGUUAUCGAAUGAAUCAGAGGGAGGAGAGGAGGGCGGGGUGUCAAGUGGAAUUUGGUCACGCUGACUCCGGAUUAGACGACUAGUUGAAUUUUUCCAAGGCUAAACAGACCCCGGGCUUUCCUUUUUAAAACCAUCUCUGAAUUCCAAUACCCGGAAAGUGUGUGAGUGCACUGUGGGAUUAAAGCAAGGAGAGUUCAACCUGCAGAACAGCACAGCAAUCAAACACAGCCUUGGUCUGAUGGCUGAAACUCUGAAGCACUUCUGUAGCAUGUUUCCUACUGCAUGAUGCUAAAAUGACACUUCUUCACAUUGCAUGCAUCCAGGGCUUAGUGCUCAUUGUAGCAACAGUUGCACAAAGAGAGAGUAAAAUGUCUGUUUCUCUUUGUGCCAGCUCGGUUCAUUGUGCAUCGCUCUCUGUCGUGUUGUUGUAAACUGUUGUGAUUCAGCAUACAGCGGAGAGAUUGAACAGUUUCAAUGAGUGUGUUUACGUGGACGUGUGUAUCCUGGUUUGAUUGUGUUUCAUGAGCACUCUGUUUUUGUGUUUGUGCAUGUAAACAACAAAUCCCUGUUGUUUGGAGAAACCUGGAAAACAAGAAGAAGAGGAAAACAGGAUACAGCCGUGAGCAUACACCUUAACCAGGAUGAUGAGGUGCGCCUGGGAUAACAAAGGACGGGAUGAACAAAUCACAUCAAAUGGAACCAAGACUGAGAAGCUCUGCAGGUUUAGGAGGCCGGGCAUCUGAAGCUAAAGCCAUGGUCGAGGUUAAGGUCAAGGUGGUUCUUGAGCCUGGCGGGAUUGUUCAGGGGUUUUUACCCUUUUCUAUCCAUGGAUGGAUCCUAGCCUUCGUGGAAGGAGGUGGAGGGAUCAAAGGACUCAAGAGGUUACAGGACACCGUGGACCAAGGCACCUGAAUAAAUACAUUAAAGAAAUAAAGGAACCAAGGAAAAUAAAAUCUCGUCAUAAUUUGGUGCUUAAAAAUGAAGACAGCAGAUGUGCAAAAAGCUGCAGUUCCUCGAGUUUCCACUGGAUGCGGGUUCAGAGCAAGCAAAAUAAAACAAGCCAAAGGUUCGUUAGAGUUCGCAUUUCCAAGAUGGUGGCCGCCAUCUUUGGGCCUCCUCAGAGACCAAGUGGGCCAUGACUGAGAAUCUUUGUUGCAAGAAAAGGUCUCAGCCUUUGUCAUCCCCCCUGACCUCAGGUGAGGCUCCUCAGAUCCGUAUCCGAUCCGUCUUCGAUCCACUGCAGGACCGUUGGAGAGCUGGAGUCAUGUGACCGAGGUUUUCCCGGUGUAAUCCCUGAAUCAAGAAUCCUCCUCCU